ensembl:snoRNA SNORA70 Small nucleolar RNA SNORA70
CUGCAGCUCAUUAAGCCGACCGGUCUCGCUGUGGUGCGGUUCUGGUGUGCAAAGGCUGCAGACACUGACUCUUUGGUUGUGUAUGUCCUCAGCUGGGAGGUGCUGAGUGCUUUAAGGGACCACUGAGACAAAA